rnacentral:rRNA from 1 species
UCGGGAAUUUUGGGCAAUGGGCGAAAGCCUGACCCAGCAACGCCGCGUGAAGGAUGAAGCUUUUCGGAGUGUAAACUUCAUAAGAAUGGGACGAAGAGAAGGGGGCUAAUAUUCCCCUGAUUUGACGGUACCAUUUGUAAGCUCCGGCUAACUCCGUGCCAGCAGCCGCGGUAAUACGGGGGGAGCAAGCGUUGUUCGGAUUUACUGGGCGUAAAGGGCGCGUAGGCGGCGUGACAAGUCACUUGUGAAAUCUCCGGGCUUAACCCGGAGCGGCCAAGUGAUACUGUCGUGCUAGAGUGCGGAAGGGGCUACUGGAAUUCUCGGUGUAGCGGUGAAAUGCGUAGAUAUCGAGAGGAACACCUGCGGCGAAGGCGGGUAGCUGGGCCGACACUGACGCUGAGGCGCGAAAGCCAGGGGAGCGAACGG